GGGGGGGGGGGGGGGCGGGCUGGAGGCGUGCGAGGCGGGCGGGGAGGCCCUGCUUGUGUGGGGUGCUCGAGUGGCGACCGGGUGAGUAACACGUGAGUAACCUGCCCUUGACUUUGGGGUAACUUCAGGCACAUGGGGCUAAUACCGGAUAGGCGCUCCUGCUGCCUGGUGGUGGUUGGACAGUUUCGCCGGUUGGGGAUGGAAUCGCGGCUUAUCAGCUUGUUGGUGGGGUAGUGGCUUACCAAGGCUUUGACGGGUAGCCGGCCUGAGAGGGUGACCGGCCACAUUGGGACUGAGAUACGGCCCAGACUCCUACGGGGGGCAGCAGUGGGGAAUAUUGCACAAUGGGCGGAAGCCUGAUGCAGCAACGCCGCGUGCGGGAUGACGGCCUGCGGGUUGUAAACCGCUUUCGCCUGUGACGAAGCGUGAGUGACGGUAAUGGGUAAAGAAGCACCGGCUAACUACGUG
rnacentral:rRNA from 1 species